rnacentral:rRNA from 1 species
CAGUAGCCACGGUAAUACGUAGGUGGCAAGCGUUGUCCGGAAUUAUUGGGCGUAAAGGGCUCGCAGGCGGUUUCUUAAGUCUGAUGUGAAAGCCCCCGGCUCAACCGGGGAGGGUCACUGGAAACUGGGAAACUUGAGUGCAGAAGAGGAGAGUGGAAUUCCACGUGUAGCGGUGAAAUGCGUAGAGAUGUGGAGGAACACCAGUGGCGAAGGCGACUCUCUGGUCUGUAACUGACGCUGAGGAGCGAAAGCGUGGGGAGCGAACAGGAUUAGAUACCCGCGUAGUCCCUGUCUCUUAUAC